UGAGUGGAUCAGCAGAGUCCUAUUUGGGGAGUCUAGAGUCUGGGGCACCAACACCAGCAAUGCGGCCCUGGGAAAAACAAUCUCUUUAUUCACGUUUCCCCAUCUGCUGCAUGGAGAUUGUCAGAUCGACUUCCCUUUACCUCACGGUGCUGGUUCAGAGAACGAAAGGAAUAAACACACAGCCAUUUAGUAAACAACUUCCAUGAAAGAACUGUGGAGAGGGAGGAGCCCUGAGUAAGAUGAAAAGGAAGAAGAGCCAGUUUCCAUCCUACCCUCCCCCGGCCCAGUUUUCUCUCACACCUGCCCUGCCUGGGUCCCCUUUGAAUGAAUAAAACAGUAACCAAA